GACGAACCGUGCGAACGUUGUUCGGAAUCACUGGGCUUAAAGGGCGCGUAGGCGGCCGCUCAAGUCCGGGGUGAAAGCCCCCAGCUCAACUGGGGAAGUGCCUCGGAUACUGAGUGGCUUGAGGGAGGUAGGGGCGGAUGGAACUUCCGGGUGGAGCGGUGAAAUGCGUUGAUAUCGGAAGGAACGCCGGUGGCGAAAGCGAUCCGCUGGCCCUCUACUGACGCUGAGGCGCGAAAGCCCAGGGGAGCAAACGGGG
rnacentral:rRNA from 1 species